GACGAACGCUGGCGGCGCGCUUAACACAUGCAAGUCGAACGGAAAGGCCUGCUUUCCCUUGUGGAUUGCGGGUACUCGAGUGGCGAACGGGUGAGUAAAACGUGAGUGAUCUGCCCCCAACUUUGGUAUAAGCCUGGGAAACUGGGUCUAAUUCCCGAUAGGACUGCAGGGUUGUGCCUGUGGUGGCAAACGAUUUUCUAGUGGUUGGGGAUGAGCUUGCGGCCUAUCAGCUUGUUGGUGGGGUAAUGGCCUACCAAGGCGGCGACGGGUAGCCGGCCUGGGAGGGUCGACGUCGACAUUGGGACUGAGACACGGCCCAGACUGCUACGGGAGGCAGCAGUGGGGAAUAAUGGACAGUAGUCGGAAGCCGGAUGCAGCGACGCGGCGUGGGGGAUGACGGCCUUCGGGUUGUUAACUCCUUUCGAGCGCGAGGAAGCCACCUGGUUGGAAGGGUGGUGACGGUAGUGGUAGAAGAAGCACCGGCUAACUACGUG
rnacentral:rRNA from 1 species